AUUGAACGCUGGCGGCAUGCCUAACACAUGCAAGUCGAACGGUAACGGACCGCUGGGAUCCCUUCGGGGUGACCUUGGUGCCGACGAGUGGCGACGGGUGAGUAAUACAUAGGAAUCUGCCCAGUANCGGGGGACAACUCGGGGAAACUCGAGCUAAUACCGCAUAAGCCCUACGGGGGAAAGCAGGGGAUCUUCGGACCUUGCACUAUUGGAUGAGCCCAUGUCGGAUUAGCUUGUUGGUGAGGUAAAGGCUCACCAAGGCUACGAUCUGUAGCUGGUCUGAGAGGACGAUCAGCCACACUGGGACUGAGACACGGCCCAGACUCCUACGGGAGGCAGCAGUGGGGAAUAUUGGACAAUGGGGGCAACCCUGAUCCAGCAAUGCCGCGUGUGUGAAGAAGGCCUGCGGGUUGUAAAGCACUUUCAAUCGUGAAGAAAAGCUUACGGUUAAUACCCGUAAGUAUUGACGUUAACGAUACAAGAAGCACCGGCUAACUCCGUG
rnacentral:rRNA from 1 species